UACGUAGGGGGCUAGCGUUGUCCGGAUUUAUUGGGCGUAAAGAGCGUGUAGGCGGCCAGAUAAGUCCGCUGUGAAAUCUCGAGGCUCAACUUCGAGCUGUCGGUGGAAACUGUCUGGCUAGAGUCCGGAAGAGGAGAAUGGAAUUCCUGGUGUAGCGGUGAGAUGCGCAGAUAUCAGGAAGAACACCCGUGGCGAAGGCGGUUCUCUGGGACGGUACUGACGCUGAGACGCGAAAGCGUGGGGAGCGAACAGG
rnacentral:rRNA from 1 species